AUAAUUAUAUAUAUAUAUAUAUAUUAAAUUAUGUGUUUUAAUUUUUUGAAGUAAAAUUUAUGUGGCAAAGUGUGGUAUGUGCAAAUUUAAGAAAAAUAUAUAUUUUUCUUAACGGGCCAUAACGGGUCGGGUCACUUUACCUUUCCUAUUAAGGUAACAUGUUUAACACGACACAACCCGUUAAGAUAACAGGUGUUACACGAACACAACAGACACGACCCGUUUGCCAGGCCUUGUUUCAUAUGAAGGACUAAGUCUAGAGGUUAAUCUGUCCUGAUCAUGUGCUAAAACUAAUUAAUGGAGUUUCUUAGUUGGUUUCUUUGUGAGACCUCAAAGAACUGGAAUCUGCUUUUUGCGGCAAAGACUCGUUCAAAUGUGAAAACCCAUGUUCUCACUUCUCAUUUUCUAGUAUUCUGAAAUUCAUGUGUGUAUUGAAUGUAGGAAGCAGGAUUCGAAUGCAGGACGUUAAGUGAAGCGGUCUCGAGCACAGGAUCUCGAGUGUAGAGGUUUCGAGCAUUAUAAGAUCUCGAGUGUAGGGGUGAAUAGACAUAACCCUUUGAGCUAUAAGAACUCCUUGUAGGCAUGGUCAAUUCUGAGAGUUAUAAUUAAUUAUGGACAUAUGCAGUCUGACUUUAGUGUUAACAUUUGUGUUUUGGAAAUCCAAAUCACUUCGUAUCAUGGUUGGUUCUGUUGGUUCUAAAUGUUUGCUUUUGGGCUGUAAACACAACAAUUAGAUGACAGAUUGGCAAGGUUUAAUAAAACUUUGGAAGACAAACACUAAAACAAAUCCCUGUAGUCAUUAAGUGACAAUGUUUCAUUUGUUCAUAAAUUCGACCACUAAAAUUGUUUGUGGCGUGACACAUUAAUUUGGUGACUAACAUUUAAAAAUUCAGAUACAUAGUGGGAAGUACAUCCGUUCUAACUCACGCGGCUACACCCAUUUCUAUUUGAAACCAUGAGCUACUUUUUUACCCUAUCAUGUAACAUGAGAUGGUAGACUUGUGUUGGUUACAACAAACAUGAUGAGCAAAUGUAAACUUCAAAUCUGUCACUCGGCACGACCAAAAAGGAGAUAGAAAAUGGGAGAAAAGGAAGAAAAGAUUCAUCAUUUCAUUGGUUUAUUGCUUUCCUUAAAGUUGUUUGGGACUGCACUGCAGGCAGGACCUGCUGUAGCAACUUAAAUAGACUAACAAAGUUACAGUUAUCUGGGGAAGAGGUCAACACAUUUUUGUUUGUUUAGACAGUCAAUGUUCUUGCUUCAAGCUUAUAACUAACAAAGUGAAGUAACUAUUUACUUUGACCUUCCAUGUAAUUUCUUUUCAAGCAUGUGUCUUGUCUUUUUAAGAAAAAGUAAGGAUAAUAUAUGUCGAUCGAUAAUUAUUUCAGUUUUCAUCUUAAAUUUUUGCUUUUUUAGUUAUUUAUGAAGGAACUCCGCCUGUGUAAGUUUAUCUUACAUUGUCGGUCCCAAGCCCAGAUAAAGGAUGAGGGGGAGGGCGUCAGGUAGUCGACAGCCGACACUCCUCGAUUACGUCGAAUCCUUAUGAAAAUGAAUCCAGAACGAAAUCGCUAAAGUUAGGGCGUCACCCGUAAGUGGCGCGCUGUGUGGCCCAAGCACAGUGAUAAGUGAGCAAGGGUCGCUGUAUCUCCAUCGGCACC
rnacentral:lncRNA from 1 species